GCAGUCGAGCGGCACCUUCGGGUGUAGCGGCGGACGGGUUAGUAACGCGUGGGAACGUGCCCUUUUCUACGGAAUAGCCUCGGGAAACUGAGAGUAAUACCGUAUACGCCCUUCGGGGGAAAGAUUUAUCGGAGAAGGAUCGGCCCGCGUCUGAUUAGGUAGUUGGUGGGGUAAUGGCCUACCAAGCCUACGAUCAGUAGCUGGUUUUAGAGGAUGAUCAGCAACACUGGGACUGAGACACGGCCCAGACUCCUACGGGAGGCAGCAGUGGGGAAUCUUAGACAAUGGGCGCAAGCCUGAUCUAGCCAUGCCGCGUGAGUGAAGAAGGCCUUAGGGUCGUAAAGCUCUUUCGCCAGAGAUGAUAAUGACAGUAUCUGGUAAAGAAACCCCGGCUAACUCCGUGCCAGCAGCCGCGGUAAUACGGAGGGGGUUAGCGUUGUUCGGAAUUACUGGGCGUAAAGCGCACGUAGGCGGAUCAGAAAGUUGGGGGUGAAAUCCCAGGGCUCAACCCUGGAACGGCCUCCAAAACUCCUGGUCUUGAGUUCGAGAGAGGUGAGUGGAAUUCCGAGUGUAGAGGUGAAAUUCGUAGAUAUUCGGAGGAACACCAGUGGCGAAGGCGGCUCACUGGCUCGAUACUGACGCUGAGGUG
rnacentral:rRNA from 1 species